UAUAUAUAUAUUUUAUAGAGUCUCCUACAAUUCGGAAAAUCGCCAGGUUAAAGAAUAUUGGCGCUUUUUCAAAGUCAGUAUCAUGUGAGAAAUAUCACCACAACUGAAAUUGAUAAUUAAAUGUCAUUUGAAUUUUAUUUUCCCAAUGAAUGAACACGUGUCUUCGAAAUUUUCUAUUGUCAAUAAAAUGGCUCUUGCAAUAUACAUACAAUGAUACAUUUGCGCUAUCUAUUGGACUUCAAUAUCAAAAUUUCAUUCUACUAGUAGAUUGGUGACACCAACAUGAGAGUGAAAGCUCAACCGUCAGCAUAUAAAAAUAAACUUUCACAAUUAUGAGAGGACCUUGAAUGAUAGAAGAAUAUUAAAAAUUCAAUGAAAACUUAUAUACAUAGUUCGACUAGAUAUGCUCACAAACAAAUGAACAGAAAAGCAGCAAACAAAUCACCAACAAAAUAAAUCAAGUACUUAAUUUCUAAAUAUGUACAUACUACAUUAAUGUAAAUCAUUAAAUAUCAGAAUGAAUUAAAACCUCAUCGUUAUGAACAUGUGAACAUAUUUAAUUACGAAAUUUAAACUCGUGUUUAAAUAACACAAACAAAUCCAACGAGUACUAUAAUCAUCCCUAAUUAUCACAUUGCAAUAAAUUCACUUAAACAUUAGUUAUCAAACGCGGAGGAAGACCCACGACAGCAAAGCACAAGCUCCGCCGUAGACUAGUACCUGUACGGUGCGAUGUAAAAUGAGCAGUCUGAAAAGAUAAAAUAUAGAAUUUACUAUGCGCAGGCAUUUACACAGUAAAAUGCAUACCUGGUCAUCAGCUGUUUGGCCUUCGGUAUGGUCUCGGGUUGUUCCUUUCCCAUAAAGCAGCGCACACCCAUUAAAGAGUUCUGAAAGUAUUCUGGCCAAUUUAUUUCGCAUAUAUUGAAAUUGAAUAUUGUUUGGUCGGCACGAGAGAGCGAAUGCCAUAACUUGGUUGUGUUUUCCAUUGUGAAGGUGAACUUGUGCUCAACAAAAUAGUCCAGUACACCGAUUUGUUUAUGAAGUUUUUGAUAUGUUUUUAUCAUUCUGAAUCGAGACAACAGUCAAUAUUAAUAUAACAAACAUAUUUACACAAACUUCAAGCGAUCUGUGGAAUAUAUUCGCUUACCUUCGCUUCUUUCCUAUCAGCAGUAGUAGGAAGUCAAAGAUGUAGCCCGGUAUUAUGUGGUAGAAUAAUAUCAGAAUAUGAUAUAAUAAUUUGGAGUUGACUAUUAUCACAAAGGGAUACCAAAUCAUUUUA